GGGAUGGUAGGAGGGAAGAUAGGUCGACAUUAUAGCAUGCAUCACUGCCCAUCGCAGUGUUAGUUUCCUCUUUCGUUAGCUUAUCUGGUUUAUAAUCAGUGGUUAUGAACAAUUUGUUCUAGUAGAUUGAGAUGUUGUUCAUUUUAUUGAUAUUGCAGUUUUCUCUAUUGUAUCUACCAACAAAAUGAGAGUCUCUUCAAUUUUUCAUUUUAACAAUUGGAGGUGAUAGCGUAUAAGGCUGAUAUAUAUGCAGCUGCUUCAUAAUGGCAUAGCAAUGAACUUACUGCAUGUUACCACUUUGUUUGAACUUUGGUGAGCUUCACUAGGCCUUUUAUCUAACGCAGGAGUAAGAUUCCAGUCAAGGGCACAGAUAGGAGCAUCCAGACCACAUCAGUAAAAUGUUAAGCGAUAACUCUUGUCAAUAUUCUGCUCACCUGUCUAUAAUCAGGAUGUCAGUUUUGCCUCACGGGUUAUCCAGUGGAAGCAUGUCCUGGAGGCGGUUUUCUAGCAACGGCAAAUUAAAAAAAUGUCAAACCGGUGUUAACAUCUCAGAAAGCAGCCGAGCAGAGAGCUGUAAUUCCCACCAGUACACGACAUGUCAUGAUUAUAUUUCCGUUAUUGGCAUCUAUGCAUGACUGGUUGGGACAAGUGAAGAUACAGCCGAAGUAAUUGCACAAAUCUCAGUUUCAAGACAUGCCGUUUAUGCAUUAAGCACACACACACACACACACACACACACACACACACACACACACACACACACACACACACACACACACACACACACACACACACACAACCCAACCCAUGUGUUCCUCAGUGCCAGGAAAUGUGACUGGCCAGGUGAGUCAUCUGAUCUCAGCCCGACAAAGCUAAUACAUCUUUUCACCUGCUGAAGACUGGAAGCUGCAAAAACGUCCUAUAAAAGAAACUCAUUAUUUUGUUUCAUGUCUGCUGGUCCCAGACUUCAGACAGUCAGUAGUUUGUCAUGAUUAAUACCAUUGUUUGUUCAGACCACUUGAACGAAAACACAAAGUCUUGACUACCACAUCUUUCAAUUUUGGUUUUCGGUUUUGGUUUUACAGAACACAAAUAAACCAAAUUCAUCUUCAGGAACAUAACUACAUAUAUGCGUAUUUAUAUUUCUUAAUGUAAAGCAUGCCUGAUGUUGUGCUGCUGUUGUGCUGCUGUUUUUCGUCUCCUAGUCCAAUUAGGAGCUGGGUCUUGGCCUGCUUUGCUGGCAGCAGCAGUGUUAACUUAAUGCAGCAUGAGAAAAUCAUUAUGCCACACUACAGAUGGGCCCAGUCAUGCAGAGGAACCUUUGCGCUCCCUUUGGAAGGCCAGUUUUAAGCAGAGGCACUAAUAAAACUCACACCCGACCGUUUGUUGAUGACAAAGAUGAGCAGGGCACUAUGGCUAAUGGGAGAGAAGGAUUGAAGGCGAAAGGAGAGGGAAAUAAGAUGAGAGGGAACAAAGAGCAAGCGAAGAGGGUAAAGAUUAAGAAAUGAAGUAGACCUCAGAGAGAACUAAGGUUUUGGCAAGUUUACUCAACAGCACAUACCGUUGGAAUGAUUGGUGGUUUCUAAUAGGUUCAGAUUCUCAGGAUUUCUGCCACCGCAAACAGAAACAUUUUGAUUUUUGAAGGACUUGGAGGAGGUCAAGGUCUGUGUUCCACUCCCAUCCAAAUCCAAGUAUUGAUCUUCGUAAUAAAUCCUUCAAAGCAGUUUUAGGAGGGCAAGAGAAAUCCUCUGCUUUCUCACAAAUACUGAUUCAAUAACCCCCGUGUCGUUCUGAAAUUCUCCUAAUACAUUAGUUCUUUGAGAAAUGGGUGAAGGAAAACAACAAUGCUGAAAAAGUAAUAAAGUGUCACUAAGCAUGAAAUCAGAACGCUUGAGUCUGAUGUCGGCAUCAAGAUAACCUUUGGAGCCUCGUGCCCUUGGGGUUCAAACAGGCGAAUAGCAUGUAAACAUGUUUUAUUACUGAGUAAAACCUUAAGAGGCUGUAGCAUGUCUGGACCUCCUUCAGGCUUUUAUUUGCCAGAGGAGGCAUUUUUCUCUAAGCUCUUAAACGUAAUGACCAUAAACAUGUAUAACUAAGUGCAUGUUAAUGCCAAGGAGGUUAGGGAGUAAUGGACUGACUGAAGCAUUAGAUGAAGCUGAUACUGUGCACAGCUGAUUGUGAGAUUGUGGUUGAACGGUAAAUCGUUCACCUGCUGCCUCGAGAAAGAAUCUUUACUGAAUUUAGCUUUGUUAAUUAGUUUAAUGGUUGACAGAACUUAACUUUGGCAAACAAGUUCAGUCAACGCAAUGUAUUAAGUUAACUCAACCUUUCAGUCACAAAAGCAGACAUUAACAUUACUCAGCUUGUUGAAGUUGUUUGGCUCUAAACUGGGUACAUAAAGUACACAGCAUUAAAGACUAUGUGAAUAACUAACAUCUUGAAAAUAGCUUAUUUUUUGUUUUGAAUGUUAUACCUAAGUGCAGUAGAAAUUGGUGAAACUUAAUUACUAUUAGUCGGUUCUUUUAUCUGCAUAAUGUUUUACAUACAGAGGCAGCCGGUAAAAGUGUCUACCCCCACCGUGUUUGGGUUUCAAAUCUGCCACGUCAGUGGCGGGUUUGUACUGCAGGAGGAGUGUGUUACGUCCUUCUGGCCUGUAGGUGGCGAUUGACUCCCACUUUUGGUCCUGAAACAUCGUAGUUGCUUACGUCAUAUAGGCUCUUGUAGAACAACCAAUGAUCAGGUCUUUGGUGGCCUAGUGGUUAACGUGCAUGGCCACAACGUUUUUUUUUUGUCCGGGGUUCGAGUCUGAGUGGAAGCAGUUUUUUUAUUUUAAUUAUUGGAAAAACAGCGUCUCAUCAUCAUCAUGUGAUCACGAGAUGACAACGUUGUAUUACUUAGUGCAUGAAUCGCCAAGACCAUGAACCGCUGGUCGCGUUAUAGUAUGAAGUUAUGAACGUAAGUAAAUUAUGGCAAAUUAUGGCAGUUUAAAACCGAAAAUAGGAAGCUGAACGGUGCGCCCUCCCGCGUGCAGCGUUCGAUUUAUGGCAGACAAGCUACUGUAACCCUGAUUUCUUGCUGUUGGUACGGGCAAUUUUCUUUACGUGGAAUGCUUCUUUAAUGCACCACACGGCAAGACAGUACGGCACAUGUACACUUUUUUCUUUACGCCGCUCUCACCCAACGCGCGUCACAUUUUCUUGUCCCCCGUCAACAAGGACAGGUAGGAACUAAUGUUGAUGACAAAUAAAAUCACAGUAGCUGAAAUGUCACGUUUCCCAAACAUAAAAUAAAAAAAAUAAAAAGGAAUACUAACUAAGGUUACACUACUACAAUUUAAAAAAGUGAAUAAGGAUGAUCUAGACCAGAGGUCUGCCACCGGUAACACCCACGUUUUAAAUGAAAAAAACAAACACUGGGAGCCGCGGAGGGCGGCAAUAUUAUAUUAUUUGAGAACAUUCAACAUUUGUUUUUUAAUCCAAAGAAGACAUAAAAGUCGGGGCUCAGAGAUCUAACCGAUGCUAAAACAUUGUCAAGGCAUCGACAAGGACAGCUAACUCGCUUUUCCCUGCUUCAAACAGCUGCUGUAACUGAGAGCAACCUGUGCGGCAUCACCGGUCAAUCUGUAAACGUAUUAAUUUUUUUUUGUAAAUAAAAAUAAUGUUUGCCCUGUUCAAACCUGCAUGGGGAAUUCUGAAAGCGGCUGAGCAACUUCGUAGGAACACAUUUCAUAUGGUACAGGUGAAAGGGAGACUAACAGCACAACGCAGCCGAGGCUGUAGCAGCAGAGAAACGCAGAUCUUUGUCCUGCGUGUUGAUGAGCGUUUCCCAUCCCCCAGUGUCACCGCUCUGGGACGUGGAUGGCCACGCCCACUUUCAUUCACCAGACGGACAUGAAAGAGGGAAUAACGAAAUAAACAGCUGGUUAACUUUGUAGGAACAUGGCUGUAGCUCUGCAAUGACUUUAUGUGGUACAGGUGAAAGGAGUAAUAACGAAAUAAACAGCUGGUUAACUUCGUAGGAACACCUUGUAGUAGGAACUGGUAUAUUUAGAAAACCCAGUAGUCCUAGUGUUAAGGUGUGUGAACUGGGGAGGAGACGGCAGCAGCGACUGAAGAGCGACUGAAUAGAGUUGAUGUCUUCCCCGCUGACAGGCGCAUUCAUUUGAUAAUGCACGUACCUUGGCUGACAGUUCAGUCAAAAACCAUACUGAAUCUUUAUUAAACCGUCCCUGAAUAACAAAUAUGAACUGCAGUUUCUUCCUUGAUUAUCCAUGAUUAUUAUGAAAGAAGCGCAAAUCUUCGCCAGUCCAAAUUGUGCAAUUAAUACUGUGUUUACAAUGAAGGUAAUAAAUAAUAAUAUUAGUAUUUUCAUUUUAAAAAGCACUGCAUAUUUUAAACGAAUGUCGAAGUGCUACAAAUAACUUAGACUACGCUACGAUAAAUACAUACGUUUAUUUUUGCAGAGUAAACGUAUGUAGAACAAACUACUUGCUGCAUUAAUGAGUCUUAGAUCUGCAGCUGAUCACGUCGCCCGAUGCUGCCCUGUCUCCCACGGAGCUUUGUCUGGAGCUGAGGUAUUUCUCACCUGCUGAUCGAGUAGUAGCAACACAUUAGCAUGUCUAUGCGCCUCUACGGGGAGGGGGAGGGGUGUGUACAUUUCCUUUGCCAUCAUCUGAGUACGAAACACAUCACAUUUCAUUCGAUCUCGUGUUUCAUUCGAGCGGCAGUCGGGAGCUCUCUGCUACGACUCAUCCACGGAUGAGCUUCGAUUAAAAAUUAAAAGCAGAGGUUUUUUGUUUUUCGUUUUUCUCUAAACGAAAAAAACAGCUUAAAAUUCAAGUCCGUGUGUUUUUGUUAAAAAAUAUUUUUGUUCGGUUUAUUGGUUUGUAAUGCGGUGCUUUUAUUCAGGAUAGAUAGACGGGUGGGAAAUCAAAGUUUUGAAACGUACACGGGCGAAUAAGUCACAUCAGCCACUCAUUCAGUUACAAUGACACGCACAGUCAAAACAAAUUCUCGCUACAUCUCGUGCACCACUGCCCCGUUCCUCUCGUAGCUUGCAUUUGCACAUCCAUACAUUUGUGUAUUGGUCACUCUCUGUCUGGACACAUGACUCCGAAACACGUCACGUGUUUGUGUAAGAGUUUGAUGUCUCCACCAAAUUAUAAGCAGAGGUAACGAGAGAACGACUUUUUGUUUUCCGUUUGUCUCUAAACAAUAAAAACAUAUUAACUCCAAUUCCGUGUCUUUUUGUAAAAAACAAAUAUUUUUGCCUGUUUUAUUGGUUUGUAAGGCGGUGCUUUGAUUAAAAUCCGUUUGCCGCUCAUCGAAAGAGAAACGAAAACGCCGGUGAAAGUGGCUGGAUGGACGGAUGGGAAAUGAAAAUGUUGAAACGUACACGGGUCGAAUAAGUGCUCUCAGCCUCAGUUACAAUGACACGCACAGUCAAAACAAGUCAAACUGCAGUUCUGCAGACACAGAGUAAACGCGUAGGAACAAACAUGUUGCUGUAAUGCGUCGCUGUAGAUCUGCUGAUUUCUGGCGUCCUGUCAAAAUUACGACCGACAACUGCUGUAAAACAAAUUCCUAUGAUUAUUACGGUUAUUUACGUAAAAUCUACGACUAUUGGAAAACAUUCAUUAACAAGUUGUGGAAGUUUAAAACCUAAAUAAGCGGCUGUAGUCGCAGAUGGACUGCGCUCUACGUCUUUACUUGCGCAUUCAAUUAUAUUAAUUAAACCGCGACGCAUAAUCAUGGUAUUAUGUGAAGCCAAUAUGUUGUAUCAGAUGUUAGAGCGGUGGGUGUGUACAUAUUUUUAAGAGACGCCUUCUAUUUAAAGACACGAAAAAGCUGAGGAGAAUGAAAACAAGAAUGUGUUGCUGCUGUGGCGCUGCCUGUUUUAAACCACACAGAACAAUUAUAACUUUGCAGUGAACAGAAAACAGCUAAGCCAUCAACAAGUUGUUGCCCUUCACACUCCCCAUGUUUGAGCACACAACAGAUACUUAAUAGUAAAAUAGGUCUGGUGUAAUAUAUGUGUGUUACAGGUAGAAAUGAACAGUCGGACCUCAGUUACGCUGUAGUGCUUUGGAGGCUUCUAAUCAACGCUGCGCCACCUGGUGGUUAAAACGAGACUAGCGUCCUGAUUUUUUCCAGCCGGCUGCAGGAUUAAAAAUCUUUAGUCAGCGACGCACUCGCUGCACCGUGGCGACGCGGCGGUACUGCAGUAAAAACCCUAGUCACUUUGAACCGCUGCCACUGUACCUUUCUCGAACAACCAGUUCCAGAUGGAUCAAUCUAAUCUUUCACGCGUCUUUGUGUACGGGUAGACAUCCCUGGUUGUCGUUAGUCAAGAUCACUCUACACGCAAGUCAUAUGAUGUGACGUUUGGAUUAGAGACAGCUCUAGCCAAGUUUGUUUGUUUGUUUUAUUCCAUCUUGACCAAAGCCUUCAUCCUGGUCACCUGCCAUUAAGCAAACAUGUUUAAAUGUCUGACUCACUGCCUGUACCAGUUUGGUGAAGGGUCAGUUCAUAAAUGUUGCUUUGUUUUUCCACUGGUCUGUCAGACACAAGUGCAAUUGAGAAAGCUGCAGGAUGUAAACCAGUACACAAGAGCCUGACACAUUUAUUACCGUACAAGAGUAACAUUUCUGACCUUUUACUGCAUUUCUUUCAAGACUACAUAAGUCCUGCUUUUAGCUAGUCAUAACUUUUUGACUAGUCAUAAACUUGCAGCCUGUUCCUGUCUGGGAAAGUAAUGAUUUCCUGAAUACUUAUCAAAGAGGAUACAUAGACUCAGGAAGUCAGUGUCCUUUUUAAAUGUACGAAAACACACAACAUGAUUCUGUGAUCACAUGCACAGAUUUUCCUUCUACCAGUUUAUUUUGUAUUCAUUCUCUAAAAGGAUCCCUUCACCUAUUGCAGCGCAUGUACCUUGGUCAGCUGCAAGCCUUUAGCAACCAUCGCACCCAGAUCUGCUAAGGCUGCCUCUAAAUAUUUGUGGUAUCCAUUUGCAAUUCUCUAGAAACAAUUGCAACACCAAGCCAUAUGCUGAUAACAAAGUUAAAAUCAUUUGUGGCGAUACUGUUAGAUGAAACCACCACUGAGAAGAAAACAUCCCAAAGCUCUAAACAAUUACAGCCAUAUCGCACACAAUCCCCGUGUAAACAGAGGCAGGAAUGCAGCGUGACUACGUUCAGAUACAGAUCUUGAGAAGUCAGAUCUCACAUAUGCAGGAGAGGCAGAUACAAGCAGCUCUCAAUAUUGGAAAUCGGUGGUGUUUAGAUCCAAGCACCCCACAGCGGUAGGUCUGGAUUGAAUUCAGCUCAGGUAUACAGCUCCCAGGGGUCCGCCCUGGCCCUGGUCUCUGUCACACCAUAGUCUCCUAGUUAACCUUUGUUUUAUGUCCUGGUAUUCUGUUACACGUGUGUUCUGACUGGGCAGAGGAACGGCACAGUUGCCAGUCAGGGGAGCGGUUGACAUUUUGGCAGUUGUUAAGGUUUAUGCAGCUCGCCCGCAGGAGGCAGUAGAUGGGAAAUAGAGGCUCCGACUGCACUGGGAUGACCCACGAGUCAUUUUGGAGCAAUUCACAUGGCGUUCCUCUGCAUACAUAAGUGAGGAGACCUUUUGGAAAUACUAAAAUAGGAAAUGCCACCACUUAAACUGCAUGUGAUUCGUAUCAACAGUGUCUGUCCAGAUCACAAUAUCUGCCAGGGACAAAUUAUAUAAAAUAACUUCAUGUUUUAGAUUAGUGAAAGACAGACAUUUUAGAGAUGACCCCAGAACCAACAGAGGAGACAAACAAAUGAAAAUUGCUUUAUUGAAAAUGCUUCGGGUUAUUACUUCGUAUCUAAAACCAUCACGCCAUCCAUUGCACAUAGUUGAUGAAGUAAACAGAUAUUAAAUGGGAGAAAUGCAGAUGUCCAAGAGCCUAGCUGCUCCUGGUGUCAGGUCUCCUUCCUGUCAGAAGUGAUCCGUCAUGGACCCAUCAUAGACAGACGUUCUCCACCCGACUCUGCAGUAAACCUGUAAUCCUCUUCCCUCACUUCUGUUGAUGAAUGGAUAAAAAGGAGGUGGAUGAAUUAAUAAGUGUUAGGGCAAUGAUAAUGGCGGCAGCAGCUAAAGUGUUAUUGAUGACUCAAUCAAAAGCGGCCAACCUCCAGCCAGCGCCCCUGUUCAGUAAUUAGUUGCAGCUUUCUAAAAUAGCAUUUCAUCUUCAUGCCAAAAAUGAGGAGUUGACAGCUAAUAUAUAAAACUCCUGUUUUCUGUGCCACUGGGGUCGUUUCACUUUGAUGAUGCAUAAAGCAGAAAUCUGUAACUCAGCUUUUAAACACAAAACCAGCAGCCUUGGUUCUGCUGGAGUGGGCAGUAUACGGCAAAGUGCUCAUGUUCACUUCUGACUGUACACAAGGGGGAAUUCAACGGCUGUUUAUUUGAGCGUUGCAUAUAAUCAAUGUAUUAUUAGAGAAUGUAUUAAUGUAUAUGUUUUGCCUUUAAUGUUUUUGGGAAUGCAAACGCUCGGCAGCAUUAAGAGCACACACGCCACUCUUUCUCUCCAGUUUCCAUGCGCCAGCUUACUGUCUGGGCCUCGGAAUGAAUGACCCAUCAGUCAUGCUGUGUCCACACACGGCUCUGACAUGGCCUGUUUGGACAGGUGUGUGUGGGUGCACAUAGGUGCGGGUGUGCGUGGGUGUGAGUUUGCCUUUUCUACUGGCCUGCAAAGUCUUUUGAGACCUAGGAUCAGGGAGCAAUUCAUCAGUUUGCUCACUAUCUUUACCAACGUUUCAUGAAGAUAUGAAGCUCCUCUAUUUGUCUUUUCACAGUAAACUAGAUCAUCAGGGCAGAAGGUUAAACACAGGUCUUAAUCAGCAUCAAAGCAACGUUGGACCUUGGCAGAUUCUGGGAUUGUAAAGCGUGGUUGUAACUUCAGAAACUGCAGGUUAUGAGUUCCUGCUGCAGUAUAUGUACAUGUGUAAAACAGAAAUCUGUGUCUGCCUCUUUCUGUUUGCUUUGGACACAUUUACAUGUGUAGUAGUACUGUAGUUCUUUGCAUUCUUUAUUUGCUUUUGUUGAUCUGGCAGUAGUAGUAAGGGAUGGCAUAUGCUUUGUUUAUCAUCUUUGGCGCUUUCUUCGUGUGAUUCUGAGUGGAGCCGACACAGUCGAGUCCUGUAAGAGACUCAGAAGCGGAGCACAGGUGCAGCUGGUGAGGACAACCAAUAAUGUUUGGACUCGCGUUGCAUUGGCCAAGAUGCUGUACAAGCCAAGGUUCUGCCAGACGGAGCCCUCGGGCUCCCGGCACAGUUUCAAAUUGGUUAUGAUUACAUGUUUACAAGUGUAGCUUUUGUCACCUGAUCAGUAAUGAGCCUGGUACAUGAGUGGCAGGUAGUGAGAGUCUGUUCUGGAUAAUUACAUGAGGUGGACACAUUAAUACAAAUAAUUAAAAAUGACAGAACAUACAAAUAUUUGUUAUUAAUAAGGCCUUGAUUUCAAAGGCUUUUGUCGGCUUUCAGUUUUCCACCUCUCAGGGAGGGAUUUUGGGAGCAAUAGCUCAUCCCAAAUACCAGAUGCUGACCCUAAGUGCCUCUGUUUCUCAUCCACUGGUUUGUGUUGCAAGCCGCCCCCUGCUGCCAGCACUCUGCAGCCAGCAGUGUGUUAUGAACAACCUCGGUGUCAGCAGGCAUGUGCAAUAUAACACAAACGCGUCCAGUAUCCGCUUCCCACUGUUACAGGCAGCGCGGACGGGGGAGCAGGGUUUGAAACUGGGUUUGGAUGCAGCACUGGGUGUGAACCUGUUGUGGUUUUGUGCUCACGCUGUCUUUCUACUUUUUGAAUCCUUUCACUGUGUGUGUGUGUGUGUGCGUGCGUGUGUCUGUGUGACAGUCCUAGUGGAAGGACGGACAGAUCCCCUGUGUGUGUGUGUGUGUGUGUGUGUGUGUGUGUGUGUGUGUGUGUGUGUGUGUGUGUGUGUGUGUGUGUGUGUGUGUGUGUGUGUGUGUGUGUGUGUGUGCGUGCGACAGUCCUAGUGGAAGGACAGACAGAUCCCCUGUGUGUGUGUGUGUGUGUGUGCGCGUGCGUCAGCGCGGUGUUGCAGGUAGGUGCCCGGGCUUUUGGAGGCGGAGCUGAUGACACUGUGUUGUUUGGCCUCCCACGCUGCCCUGCUCUGAGUCACGUAUGAGCCACUAACACAAAAGCUGUGGGAGAGCGGAGAUAUAUUUUGCUGGCUCCACUUAUCCCGGCAGACACAUUUAUCCACAGACAGCAAUUCUGCAGCGGAGAUGAGUACAUUACUGUAAAUAUCACAGGAAAGGUGCCGGCUGCUGGUUGCUACUCUCUGGACCUUAAUUCCUCCGAAUCACAACUAACGUUUUUCUCGUGUUUAACCCCAGAUGUCUCCGCGCACACAGCUUCAGAUUGAAAAUGCUUUUGAGGAAACCCACCUGUAAAAUGUCAGCGGCUUUCUGUGGCAUUACAUUUAUUCUGUUUCUGUUUCUCACCCCGUGUCACAGCUGAGAGGUGGUUUGAAGCGAGUACAAAGCUCCAGCUGAAAGAUCUGCCACACGGCCGAUCAUCACAAGACAGUUGUGUCAGGUUAAAGUGUAGAAUGUAGAGUUCCCACUACAUUAAAGGGGCUGAUGUACAUUCCUACAUGCAGUCGUAGCUCAUUGGACUCCAGCAUCCAAAACAAUGACAGGGGCCACCUCCAACAAAAGGCUCAGUCUCAGCCAAUGGGAACAGGAACACUGAAAAACAUAUCUCCUCCUCCAACUGCUGCCUAAUUCCUCCCCAUCUCUCUCACUCUCACACACACACACACACACACACACACACACACACACACACACACACACACACACACACGCUCUGCUCUCUCCUUAGUAGAGUCUGACAGCUCUCAGGGAAGGAGGGAUUUCGCUCUGCUCUUUCCACAUGACCUCCUCUAAACUUGGGUCCUGGACUUAACGCACAGAAGGAACACGCAGGGGAACAGUGUUGCAAAUUUGUCACCCAGAGUGUUAAAAUUCCCCCAGGAAUGUUAAUCUGACCAGUACUCCCAGCACACACACACUCCACUAAUCCUCAUCCCCACUGCUUAAGCCAGAUUUGGUUGUCGACCACUACUACUGUUGAGACCGCGCACAAGCCCUUUAGCUCGAAAUCGUCAAGUCUUCCAAAUAAGACACCAAAAUACACUCAAAUGUAAUUUAGCUUCCUGCUGUUUUUAAAACUUACUUUAGUAACUAAAUGAGGGGGAAGAGUUCAGAAAAGUUGAAUUUCCUCUCUUUUUUGUGCAUCAGAUGAAUAAUGCGACGGUGAGAAACUCUGAGGGAUGAAGCUCAUGUUGCAGACUGUUUAACACGUUAACUUGUCAUUUCCGUUUACCUGUCUGAGAACUGUGUUCACACAGCUCUUCUGAAACACAACGUGAGUGCCUCCGGGGAUUAUUGUGUAUUACUUUCCCGUGUUGUGUACGUGUUUACUGUAUGUGCGUCAACAUUUUGAAAACGAGGCGGUGUUUACUUGCAGAAUGACUUCCUCUGGUGUUUGCUUGCAUCCAUUCUUACCCCAUCGCACGGAGAGAGAGAAGCAGGAGGCAACUCGGGACUUUUUAACUUCUUGACCUUCAGACAUGAUUGGAUCUGUUCUCCUGCCAAGCCAGACAAAAGGCUUCUGAAAGCACAGAGUGCGCUCAUGGCCGGGCCUUCAUGUAGCCAUGGAUGGUAGGAAGGAGGAAGGGGGGUGCAGAGAGGGAAAACCGGUGGAGAGAAACUGGUAGAGAGAGAGAGAGAGAGAUGGUAGGAGAGGCAGUCAUGUCAUGCACAACAUUUAUUUAUUCAAACUGUCCAUCUGUUGUGUGGCUUCAGCUUGGCUGGUGUACAGCUCACACACACACACACACACACACACACACACACACACACACUUUGCAUGCACUACUUCCUAAUGACGAGGCCGCUAAAGCCUUGUUGAGCAAUGUUCCAAUAUUCUUCCGAGUAAUACAGGUUCCUAUGAUGGGUGCUUCAUGAGUAUUGAUUUUUUGUCAUCUUGUUUGCCAAACAGGCAUUUCAUUACACAGCAGACCUAAUUAUCUGCACAACAAGGAUACAAGAGUGGUUUCCACCUGCUCCUUCACAAAGGCAUGUACACAUGCGUGUCUGUGUUUGUUUUACAUUUUGCGGCGUGUUUGCUUUAGCUUCACGCUGCUCUGCAGAAUGCCCUGCUUAAAUUCUGACUGCUCAGUUGUUCGUCGCAAGAUUUGUGUUGACUGAAAACUCACUUCAGUCAAAUCCAGCAGAUCUCCUAUGGUUAAACGUUUGGCAAAAACAAACGGACUUAACGAGAUUUAACUGGAAUCAUUUUGUGGAGAGGACUGUCUCCGAAUUAUCAAUAAUCAUUCACAGCUGACGGCAGUUGCAAAUUGAAUAGACUCGUCAGGUGGCAGGAAGUCACUCAUACCAUCAGUGUCCCUGCUUGUGCAUGGCUUGGGGUGGAUGAUAGAAGAGUGCAACAGAGGCAGCUGUGCAGACAGAGUCUAUGAAGCUCAUACGCUGUGACCUUGUGCAGUGUUGAUGCGUCUGUGCUGUUUGUGUUACCAGUCGCUCUGAUGAUGAUGUGAUCCUUUGUUGCCAACCCAGUGCUGGACAACAGGAAAGCCCACACCAAACACAGUGAAGGUUUAUGACCGGCAGAGCACAUGCACAGGCACGGGUUCAGUCACACAAAGGCACCGCCACCCACAGGAACACAAUGUACGCUGACAACACAGGGAUUAGCUCCACUGUCCCUGAACGCAUCACUCCAGCGUUACUGCUGGUAGACAGCUCACACUGGCGUCAUAUGGUCUGUUUCAUUUACAGGACAAGUGACUGUUUCUCUCACUGAAGCAGAGCGGAAAUACCAGGUAACUGAUAAUAACGCUUAGAAGGAACUGGUGAAAUUCUUCAAAGUCUUGAUGGUAAAGAUAUGAGAUGAGAAUGUGUAAGGAAGUAUCAUUCUCUAAUGACAAACAGGAUGUCCAUAAUAUGUCAGUUGUAGGAUAAAUGAUGCAAGUAGAUACAAGUAGAUAGUAAGUAGAUUUACAGUAGAUAGACACAAGUACAGUAUAGGCACUAAAAUACCAAUUCAACAAUUCCCCAGCACACUGUGCUGGGGAAUUGUCUCUAUUUCCAACUUGCUCUUUCCUUCACUAGUGCCCUCAGCCUGAGCAAAGUUGAUUCAGGCUUUAUCAAAAGUAUCAGGUGCUGUGAUUGAAGGCGGUGGCAGCGCUGGAGAGGAAAUGCAGGGAGAGCUUUACAAGAUGAGACCUGGCAACAUCGGCCAGCGCCGCGGACUGAUAUCCCUGAUGAAAUGUUCUGGGAGAGCAUGUGGUUAUUACCCCAGCGGAUGUUAUUGUACAAAACCGAAGACGGGUAAUGAAAUGAUGUAUGGUCUUUUACUGAGCAGACGGGAGUGUGUGCACUCCGCUGUCUGUUAGCGCUUCUGUGUGUGUUAAAUGAGGAACCAGGCGGCACCAUCUGCCUGACAGCGGCAACAAAAGAUGAUGAGAUUGUGUCCGAGAGGAAAUCUACUUGUGUUUGCCUUUAGCGCGCGCACAAAAGGACGCACAGCAGCGUUUUUUUUUUCAUAAAAUGUGUCACCUUACAGCUUUCUGAGGGUGCAACAUACAAGAUAGAGCAAUUUGCUAGACGUCGACUGUGACACGUUACCGCUCGGCUUCCCUUUUUGCAGGGGAUACGGGGACGGGGGCGUGCGUGCGCGGGCGGAUGUGCGAGGCCGGACAGGCUCACGUCGUGUCCUGCAGUCUCCGGGCCGAGCGGCUCUUUGUUUGACGCCUCGGCUGAAAGCGGAGCGCUGCCAGGCACGUCCGCCGCUGGCGGACGAACAGCGUGUCCCGUCUCGGUCGGCCCACCUCCCGCGCCUCCAGCCAGCAGCGAGGGCGGCGAACGAACGAACGAGCGCACGGUGAAGACACAGGGAGAGGCCGAUGAAGGGAAAGAGGGGAAGAGAGGAAGGAAUGUAUCAGGUUUGCCGGUUCCUGCCAAGAAACCCGAAGCAGUCCGACAUUAUUGGCAUUUUUCAUGUCGAGAUCAUCCACUCGACUCGCCCGGCGUUCAGGUUGCCAGAUGCUUCCUCGGAGAGCUCCAGUUUCACUUAGAGAACAGGUCUUUGUCCCGGCAGCGGAGAUCUGUUGCGCCUUAAUUUUGUCGUAACGCCGCGCGCGGGAUGGAGUGGCCGCGCACACGGUAACAUUAUAGUGUUGAGGAGUUCACUACGUGUCAGUUAUUUUUAUUUAUUGCAGCUCCGGUGACAUGGUUAGGAAUGUCACAUCAUACCUUUUGUGCUUUGCUAGAAGCACACAGUCGCGUAAUUGCGGGAGAUGGAAAGGGAUGUGAGGGCAAGAGAGGGAGAAAGGACAGAUGGCAUGUUAUGUGUCAUGGAGACCUCAGCAGAUGUUUACUACCGGGGAAGAGGAAAACGUGACCAGACAUCUUAAGGCUCUGUUGUGUGGGGCCACUGGGAAUUGGACUAAAUUAAUUUAACAUACAUUAGCAUUGCUUCCUCGAUUCCAAGUCAGCCCUACUUUACUAAUUAUUUGCAACUCUUUUCAGCUCAAUUUGAAUUCUCAGAAGGCCCAUUUUUAAAUAUGCUGCAAUUUCAAACUAAAAGAAUUCUUGUUUUUUUACUAACGUAGACUGCUGUGGGGCAACAAAGGAGGGACAGAAUUUUAUUAAAAUCUUUUCCCACAGGGGGCAAAAAUAAACCGUGGCAAAUAGAGCAUAUCUUCUGCAUCUUUACGUCUGCACUUCACGUCUGCCUCACAGAUUUAUGUCCCCGACAUGCUUAUUAUAGCGCUCAUGACUUUUAACCUAGUCUUUGUGCACUUAAAUGUACAUGCAUGAUGCAGAGCUGUUACAUGCUGAGACAAUGUGGCACAGCAGCCAUGACCUAUUAAAUCUCCAUUGUUAAUACACAAAGAAAGAGAGAGGAGUACGUGUGCACACAUUUGAAUGAUCACUUGUGUACGGCAGUGAGAGAAAAUGUUCAUAUGAGCAUACACACGGACUGUGUUUGUGCACGUAGGAGUAUUUCUGCACCCUUUUUCUCUCCAGUGACAGUGACGCAAAGGUUUCAGAGCCAGACUCACUUCUAGCUUUUACUUGCGGUUUGCCACUCCCUGACUGAUAGAAUGCAUCAGGACCUGAGCUAUGCGGUAAUAGCACUGGCGCGUGGGGUGUGUGAUCUGAUGGCAUAUUCAGGUACGAGACCUAUGGGCAAUGACCUUCAAGGGAGUUCCCGAAGCUUUUUCUCCUGUAGAAAUAAACAAACAUUUUUUUUGUUGUUGUUUCAGAGCAUUGCCAGUGAAAUAAUAGACCUGUGAGUCAUGGGAUAAAACCUGCAUAUAGACAUAACAAACGUGCCUGCACAAACACAGCUGGAGCCAAGGAAUGACUCUCCAUGUCUCCGCGAGGAGGUACUUAAAAUCACUGGGAUCAGCACAGAUGUUCCCAAGUCUUAGUCAAUCCAAAAAGAUUACAGCACAGCACAGUGAGAUGCAUCCAGUAUGAAGUUAUUUAGUAAGAUCCACACAUCCACAUCCACACACAUGACAGCACAUCACUUGGGCCCAGCGCCUUAGGCCUGCGUGUGUGUGUGUGUGUGUGUGUGUGUGUGUGUGUGUGUGUGUGUGUGUGUGUGUGUGUGUGUGUGUGUGUGUGUGUGUGUGUGUGUGUGUGUGUGUGUGUGUGUGUGUGUGUGUGUUGGCAACCUGUUUGGAUGGUGCUGUUCCAUCUGCACCUGGGUGGGUGGAGAGUCGAGGGCGGGGCUUAAAGUUAAAGUAUGUAUUUGAGAUACGUUUUUUCUUACAUGGCUUGUGGAUUAUGUUCCAUUACCAUUACUAUGAUGCAUUCAAAUCAGCUGUGAUUAUUUUAGGAGCAGGGCUACAGUACAUUCAAUGUGUGUGGACAUAUAUUUACAGUAGCUUGUGUUCUAAUGUAUGACAUGUUUCUCUUCAGUGUAUUGAGCUGGAGAAAAGCUGACCAAUCAGAACGCAGCAUUAUGGAUAAAGGGCUCAAACAAGGCUUUUCAGUAUCAAGGCCGCUGGAGCCGCUGCAUGAACAGGGAUUAGAACAUGUAUUCGCCGUUUUUUUAAAUAGAAGAUGAUAUAAUCAUGUAACAGAGGAAAAAUUAAAUUACACAUAAUUUGGUUUCAUUUCAGCUUCACUACAUUUCAGCUAACUUGGGAACCUACAGAAUGUCAACUCGUGGGUCUAAGCUGUGGAUGAUGUGCACCAUUAAGACAAAUUUGUGACGUUAUACUUCACUAGAUUAUCACUUGAGCAGCACAGUUGUUUCAAACCAGCUCCACAAUGAGCUGCGAGAGUGACUGUACAUGAAUGAGAUGGAGGAGGAGACAGGUAGACGGAUCAAGUGUGGAGGUGUUUUUGUCUAAUUUAUAUUGUUGUACGAGUCAAUAGCAGGAUGUUAGUCGCACACCGCUACUGUACAGAUGCAGUGAGAGACAUCAUUAAGGAAAAUGAAUUAUGCUGCAAAUUGCCUUCCUGUGGGACGAGUUUGCAUUCAAAUUUAAAUUUAACUCUCAAUUAAAAAAAUCUUGACUUUGUUGUCACUCCAUCUUUGAACCUCCCCUCCCCCUUAAUCCUCCACUUUGGUGCCGUCACUCUUGCCGCUUCCUUCUGCCUGUGCUACCUCCGCUAUCGCACCAGAUCCAAUGUGGCGGAACAGUGGCUGACGUCGGCUCUUCUCCCUCUGUGUUGCAGCAGGCCCUAAUUGCUGGUCUCUCUCGCACACAGAGAAAUGCUUUAUCUCUGGCUGGCCAUGACGCACUUCAGCUAGCAGACCAGCAGCAGCACAGGCGUCUGCAACCUUCACAGUUAAAUGCCCGCCGCCACCCUCUGCAUCCACCACAGACACCUUAAAAGGCUCCAAUUAAAGCAUUACAGCAAGGAAGGGAGGAAGAGAAAUGAGGCAGAGGAUAUUUCAAAGAGAGUGAGAGGAUGAGCUUGCAAUGAAUUAGAACUUCUGUAUUGUUUUGCCAUGCAUGGGGGGAAAAAAGCCAAAGGGAGGUAAAUGAUAAAGACAGUGAAUAAACAGCAUGAGAUUUCUUGGUAUUGCAGAAGACAGAUUCACCCUGUAGCACCAGACCAAGCGUGAAUCCACAGACAGAAGGACGGAAGGAAGGAAGGAAGGAAAGAAAGGAAAAAGAGGAGAGAUAUUGAGGCAGUGAUUCAAACUCCUUUACAUCUUCUUGUCCACGGAGCCUGAGGGUAAAGGAAAUGGCAGAAGGCACAGGGAGAUAAGAGCCUUUGUUCUACGGAGGUGUAGAGAUUUUUACAUUCCACUAGAUUGCCUUGCACUCAUGUCCAGCUUGGCCGACUGGAAAUGAAAGAGAAUAAAAGGAAGUUUCUGUGAAGGCCAGAUGCCAGGUUUUAUUAUGGUCCUGUGUGACGGCUGCCUUUGGCUAUUUUUCAGAGGCUCUCCUUGCAAAUGCCCGUUGGAAAUCUUUCAGUGGUUUCCGUGGGAAAUGGUCUUUGCAGAAGUCACGCACAGAAGUUGUCAUUUUGAGUUGAACAGAACAUAAAAUAUAGUUGUUUGAUAUGUGGCUGCGAGGAAAAGGAAGUUAAAGCUGUCUAGCAGAGAGUUCGAUGAGAAGAUUAACACCACUGUCACAGUAAUUGUCUGUUAAGUACAGUAUAAGGCCACGGAGCUCAGCUCCAGCGACGGACUGGAAACACAACCAACGACGAUGACGCUACACUUAGCAGCUUCUCUAGAGCCGUGUAAUUAACAUGCUACUGUACAUCUCCUGAUUCAUCCACAACACACAUCUCGCUAUGAACAGUACAGCUUCGUAUUUGACAGCGUGGAGAAGUCACGUGCUUUAACACGCAGGGCGACGAAUAAUGGGUCUGAGACACAAAAGUCGAUUUAGGAAAUAAUCUCCAAUUGUGACCAGACGUGCACUGACUCACAGAAGCAAUACAGUUGUUGGUUUCCGCUGCCACAUGAACAGGAAGUGACUGAUGAAGUCAUUUGACUAGCAGCAGACACGCGGCUCAAUGUAUCACCCACCUAUGUUGCACAAUUCAUUAUUGGCCCGUGGCUACCUGGAGGCUUGUGGUACAUAGUAAUACCGUCUGUUGUGCUCGUCAUAAAUUUAGGCUCCCGGGCAAUACGGAAAUCAGCGUCCGAGAAGUGCGCUACCUAUUUACCCAAGGCAGCCGAGCGUUGAGCCAUCUGUGCCCGCUAGUUCAUAUAUUCAGCAACGCACCCCAAGGUGUGAUACAUCAGAUCUAACAGGCUGAGGGCAGGGCCGGCGUCAGCCAUUAUGCAGUCAGAGCGGUGGAAAAUGACACAAGAUGCCUCAUUCUGCCCCUCUCUGCAGCCACGCCAAAAGGUUUUCUUGGCAUGGGGGCGUCUCAUUCUACAUAAUAGCUUUGAGUUUUACAUGGGCAACAAGUCAAGCUGGAAACACUGAGUCAUGACCUGCCUUAUCCAGGAAAAUUGCUACUAAUAGGCUACAGUAAGAUGCUCCUGAUCCCAGAGUCAGUCCUCAAACAGGAGUCUGGCGGACAUGCAUCACACUUUGUUGUAACAUAAAGCCGGGGCCUUCAGUGUCUGCCGGGGAGGAAGAGUUAGGGUUAGAGGCCCAGAUAAGAUAAGAAUGACAGCAGAGGGUGGGGUUGUUUAAUUGUGUUUAUCCAGAGCUUUUAGUCUGUGUGUUUGUGUGUGUGUGUGUGUGUGUGUGUGUGUGUGUGUGUGUGUGUGUGUGUGUGAGAGAGAGAGAGAGACAGAGAGCAUGGUCUGCAGUGAAGCAUCUCUGUGGGUCAACACGGCCGGGGAGCGAUCUCAGUUCAACCUGACACCAGGGAGACGGAUCACCGUUGAGGCGGGUGGAGAACCAACAAAAACAGGACGUUCACCGGUGUUUGUUAGCAUCCUGUUCCAUCCUGCUUCAAUACCACGCGUCAGUGGGGAAGAUGGACGGGAUUCAUCCCCAAACCAAACGCAGAAUCACCCCCUUGUGUAUUUUUAACUCCACAGAUGCAGCCAUUUCCACCCACUCGCUCAUACAUCCAGGCAAUCCGGGGUCUCCGGAGGCACAGACGAGCUGAAGCGCCAUCCGUGUUUCCGCUAAUAGCACAAAACACCCCACUAAUGGACAGAAUGCUUUAGUACCAAUUCCAUCAUUCCUGACAUGUGUAUACUGAAUCUUUUUGUUAGCUCCUGUGUCACAGAGGUCACUGAAGUAGCCGACUUGCUGACUGGGGGUGGACUGGGAAUGGACCCCUCUAAUGCAACUCAUACAUUACCUGUAAGCUGUUAGGAGGUCACCACCCCAGGGCGCAGAUGGAUGAUAAUGCCCUCUAUUGUGAGGUGUUGCUGAGCUAUCACUUAUCUGGUGUUUCUGAUACUCUGGAAGUGCCGUUUACCUCCUCAGACAUUGUAGACAUUGUCUUCCUCUUAAUUGAUUAUUGACAGAGACAGACAGACAGAUAGAGAGACAGACAGACAGACAGACAGAUGGAUAGAAAGGUGCAGCAAGCAUUGGCUCAGUGUGCAUCCUCCUCUUUCGCUCUGGGGCUUUCUAUGAGGCAAGCUAAGGCAAGAUCCCACCAACACAACAUGCACAGUUUUGUGCCCAUACAGUAAACACACACACAAACACGCACGCGAGCGAACGAUUGACAAUGUGUCUCUAACUGGAAUUGGGAAGUACUGUAUGACGAGUGGUUGUGACAAAGGGGGGAUGCGAGAUCAAGACAUCAUCAGCCACGAUAAAACAGCGUGCAGUGAUUUAAUCCUGCCUGGCCCACAGUGUUAGCUUUAAAGAAACCACACGCACCCACAAGAACAAUUACACAAGCAGUGGUGAUAAUAACAGACAGAGCUCGUCACUCAACUCACCUGAUAAAGCUUCCCCUGUUCAACUGUAACCUGGUACGGUCUGUACUGUUAAGCAGAAGUCAGUGUUUUUCUUAUGUUUCAUAUAAUGUAAUGUGUAAUACUACAUAAUUUAUUUAAGGCCCCAGCUGUAGGAGAGGGACAAAGAGAGACGCAGACUCGUGUUGUAUGCACAGGUGACACAGAAUAAAGAAUCCUUAUCAUCAGAGCUAAAUCAUUCUUACAUAUAAUACUGUUGAAAAUGAGGGAUUAGUCUGCAAACCAUACACCGGCACAAAAAGAUCAAGUGUCUCGUGAAAGGAAAUAAUUAGGGUUAUGACUCAGGCACGACAUGCUUGUUCUUCAUAGAAGAGAAGAAAAACAACACUGAAAGAAGUCUCAUUGUUCAACACCUCCACAAGAAGAGAUCAUAGCACACGAAAGGGGCGUAUUAAUAAUAAAUGUUUUCAUAUGCACGUGGUCGUUAGUGAGGCGAAUUCAUGCAGAAUCUGGAUGAUCGUACUUACAUAAAAUGAGCAUUACUGAUUAAACGCUUUGCAUCUCUCCUUCAUUUAACUGUUUCAUUCAUUCCGGCCGAGACCAUCAAAGCGAAACCUACAUUACUCUGAGUGUUUGUCGAGUGGAACCAUUUAUUUUAUGCACACUUGUGUAUUUAGCAUUUUCCAUUUCAUUUGCAAAUAUUCUAAUUAACAUAUACCAUCGGUGGGUUAUGUAUGGACUAGUAAGCCAAGACUAGUGGAACAGGAGCGUGAGGUGGCGACCAGAGAGAGGCGUGUGUGCCAGUGUUUAUCUGUCAUCACAGCGCUCGGCUGGUCCCUCUUUGAUUGAUAGAGGUAAAAGCAUUUCAUCACCCUCUAUAACAAAAGGAAACGCGCUCUGUCCCCUCCAGGAGUUCAGAGAGCUGCAGAGCUGUUUUAACCUGUCUGGAAUUCCCUGCAGUGAUAGAAAGAUAGGACCAACGUCUCCACACUGAGCGUGGAAAAGGACUCUUUCAUUUGUGUUUUACUCGCACCAUGGCAGCGCUGUACAGGAAAACUGAAUCAGAUCCCACACAGGUGGAUGGAUGAAUUCCACGAGAGAAUGGCUCAGCAGGAUGAACACAGCACUGCUGUUCUGUGCUGGAGGCUGGAGCAGUGAGGGCAACAGGGAGAGCAAAGGUUGCCAUCCACCGACAGGCCGGGGCAGAUGACAUGCAGGGAGGGAGAGUCGGAAGGAUCCAGAGAGUAUAAUACACAGUCUCAUGUACUGCCUAAAGCAAGACAUUUCCCUGGAGAGGGUAUUGUUGACAACAUGACAUAAAGUUAGAGAGAGGCAGAAAAAGAGACAAGGACAGAGGGAAGAGCGAGGAAGAUAAUCACCUGCUGUAGCCAUGAGAGGGACGGAGACGAGAGCGCGCGUGCGAUGCUCAGCUUGUUGAGCAUCACUCAAAGACGUCGUCUUCACACAAGUGCAAAAUCACCAGCGUCAGCUGCGCUUUGAGGGAGCACCGGGAUCUGGGGAAUGCGAGCGUCCGCCUCGCUUUUCUUGGCACGUCGCGAGUGACACUGACUGACGGACGGCGCCUCUGGGAGACGACCAGAGGGUGUGAACCGAUUGAUACGCUCACGCUGACAGACGACCCGGCCGAGGGUGUUGGGCUUUGUUGCUGGGCCAAGGCGCUCAGGAGGAGCUGGUGAUCGUAUGUCAGUAAAACGCCUGUCUCUGAAGACGCAGACAUGAAGACGAACAUGAGAAUCCAGAGAAAGGAGGAUGUGAGCUUCCUCCUUUUGCUCACUUGGGAAAGUAGCCAGACUUCAGCCUCGGUCUCACUGCACUCGCUACCUGCUCCCAGCCCUGCUCAGCAUUAUCUGCUUCAGUCGUGAAAGGAGAUGCAUCGGAGGCCCGGGCGUCUCCAGCCAAGUCACAUGCGCCCCAUCUACCUCCAGCACUCAGCCGCAGCCAGACCCCGUGGUGGUCCAAGGGAGCUAGGUGGAGCUGGUAAUGCUUCAACCGCAGGGUGUGGAUCAGCAACGACCUGAUUAGUCAUCGGCCCUGACCCUGAGCGAGCCCAAGUGGCUGGAAUACAAAUGAAUCCCCAGGGCUGCUGGGCAGUAAAUCUGAUUCAGGACCAGUGUUUAUGGCAUUCAACCCGCACCACACAAGGCCGCCCUGGAUGGGCUCACUGACCCUUAACGGUGACUUCACUCAAAGCAGGGGAAAGGCUUUUGGGCGGGGUGUUUGCCUGACUGAUGGCAGUUAACAGUAAUUAUAAGACUGAGGUUAUAGGAAUGAUGUGAUGCUUCCAAAACACUUCAUUAAAAAGGUGUUGUGAGGUCUACACUGUACAUCUGUUAUACAUCUAGUGCUUGUUUGGGUGAAGCUGUGCGUAUCAAUAAAUUAAAUGGGUAAAGCCUUCGCUGCUCUGGGAAACUGUUAAUAUUUCACCAACAUGAAGCCUCUCCGUCUGUUCCUCCUCAUCUAACGGCUGCCAGGGCCCAGCACAUCCGGGGUGCUCGGCCCCCGGCUUCAUAAACAGGUGAGGAAUCAUUUAAACAGGCCGAGAUGCAAAUGGGUUUUUGUAAGCGUUGCCUCAUUAUCUCACUUCAUCCACAGACACACAGAUCCGGACGCGGCCUGUGUGACGCCAAGGUCGUGAGGGUGCAGACGCGACGAGGCCGGGGCGAGAUCGUAUAGAUCGUCUGGAAGCUGGGCCAUUAGCGAGGCACUAAUUAGGGAAGACCGAGCGAUCCCCAGCAGUGGUCGAAGCGAGGAUUCAUAAAUAAAUAAGCGCCGGGGCAGCUUGGCCACUUAAUUAACAAAGCGUGAAAAAAAAAAAAAAAAAAAGCGGCGUGAAUCCCAGGAGGUGCAAACUCGGUCUGCUUGGGCGGAGGAUGGCAUUGAUUGAUGGCAAGUCAAAUUGAAUCUCUAAUCAUCAUCACCCUUUUAGUUGCCGCUCCCCCGGGGAUCCGCCGAGGCCAAAGAGGCACGGGGGAGAAUGCGUCUGCAGCCCU